rnacentral:lncRNA from 1 species
ACCAUUCAAUUUUUGUAAAAUGGAAGCAAGAUUUUUCUUUGGGCCAUUCUUGUUUAUAGAAGAAAGAGCAGCGUAUCAGCUCAUCUGGUAUGCAAUAGCGGCACAUUUAUUGAAGUUCUAGGUGAGUACUAAAUGGUGAUUUUGAGUAGAUUCCAUUCAUUAAUAUAAGUAUUAACACCCAACACACUGAAAUCCUAGAUUUGUAAAGAAACUAUUCAAGAACACAAAAGAGGGAAAAAGCUAGGUUUUUCUACUAUAAGGUAAUUCUACUGCUCCCUCUCCAAUUAUGAAUUUCAAAUGAGUUAUUUAGUAUAUUUGAGUAAGAAAAAGGUGAUGGGAACUUGAUAUUAGAGUAACCCAAAAUGGGUGUUCGUGACAUUAAAGAGCUUAAGGAGGAGGAAAAUGAACAGUAACUAGGGAUAAG